rnacentral:lncRNA from 1 species
AAAGUCAAGGCAGCAAGGAAAAGUCAACCCAAACCAAGUCUAAACAUUCAAGAAGCAUUCUCAAUUGGAUUCAUAAUUAUAUCAUGCAUCAUUGUCAUUUCAUAUGCAAAAGAAUGCAAAGCAUGGCAAGAAAGAGCACAAAUAGGUCAACAGCAAGACUUCAUCCAAAAGUCAACCCAAACAAUCUCAAAAAUCAUGAAAUAAAUCACAUUCAAUCCUAACAUAUAGCAUAGCAAUCAUGUCAAAUUUCAAUGCAUUUGGAUGAGAGGAAGGCAGUCAAUUAAAAUCAUGAAGUCAAACCAAAUUCAAGUAAGCAUGGUGAAAGUCAACAAGCAUGGAUCAACUUCAAAAAAUCAUAUCAAUUUGAAAACAGAAGAGAAAUGAG